rnacentral:lncRNA from 11 species
GUUUUAUUCACCUUUUAACCUGCUUUGUUUUACCUCCUUGUUUAUGCAGUUUUACUCUGCAGGUGUAAAAUAUAAAAGCUCCACUAGAGUUCUGCAAAGUGAAGAAAGUCUACUAUAAAAUAUACAGAGCCAUAUAACAGCUACACUGGAGAGCAGCAUCACCACUCCAAAGGAGUUAUUCCCUCCCUGCUUUUGAAGACUAGUAGAACAAACCUUUUAAGACUCCAGCUUUUACUGGGAAAACCUAGCUGGAUACAUCCUGUUUUGUGGGCAUCUGUUCUAUAGGGAGCCAAGAUGAUGGUUGGCCCCUCUCAAUAAAGAAAAGAGCUAUUCCUCAU